rnacentral:rRNA from 1 species
UGGAGGGCAAGUCUGGUGCCAGCAGCCGCGGUAAUUCCAGCUCCAAUAGCGUAUAUUAAAGUUGUUGCAGUUAAAAAGCUCGUAGUUGAAUUUCGGGAUCAAUAUGUCGGUCGUGCCUUCGGUACGUACUGGUAUCAUUGGUCUCUCCUUUCUGACGAACCAUGAUGUCAUUAAUUUGGUGUUAUGGGGAGUUAGGACUGUUACUUUGAAAAAAUUAGAGUGUUUAAAGCAGGCUUUAGCUUGAAUACAUUAGCAUGGAAUAAUGAAAUAGGACGUUCGAACCUAUUUUGUUGGUUUCUAGGAUCAACGUAAUGAUUAAUAGGGAUAGUUGGGGGCAUUAGUGUUCAAUUGUCAGAGGUGAAAUUCUUGGAUUUAUUGAAGACUAACUACUGCGAAAGCAUUUGCCAAGGAUGUUUUCAUUAAUCAAGAACGAAAGUUAGGGGAUCGAAGACGAUCAGAUACCGUCGUAGUCUUAACCAUAAACUAUGCCGACUAGGGAUCGGAUGAUGUUAAUUUUUUAAUGACUCAUUCGGCGCCUUACGGGAAAC